rnacentral:rRNA from 1 species
UUAAGCGACUAAGCGUACACGGUGGAUGCCCUGGCAGUCAGAGGCGAUGAAGGACGUGCUAAUCUGCGAUAAGCGUCGGUAAGGUGAUAUGAACCGUUAUAACCGGCGAUUUCCGAAUGGGGAAACCCAGUGUGAUUCGUCACACUAUCAUUAACUGAAUCCAUAGGUUAAUGAGGCGAACCGGGGGAACUGAAACAUCUAAGUACCCCGAGGAAAAGAAAUCAACCGAGAUUCCCCCAGUAGCGGCGAGCGAACGGGGAGCAGCCCAGAGCCUGAAUCAGUGUGUGUGUUAGUGGAAGCGUCUGGAAAGGCGCGCGAUACAGGGUGACAGCCCCGUACACAAAAAUGCACAUACUGUGAGCUCGAUGAGUAGGGCGGGACACGUGGUAUCCUGUCUGAAUAUGGGGGGACCAUCCUCCAAGGCUAAAUACUCCUGACUGACCGAUAGUGAACCAGUACCGUGAGGGAAAGGCGAAAAGAACCCCGGCGAGGGGAGUGAAAAAGAACCUGAAACCGUGUACGUACAAGCAGUGGGAGCACGCUUAGGCGUGUGACUGCGUACCUUUUGUAUAAUGGGUCAGCGACUUAUAUUCUGUAGCAAGGUUAACCGAAUAGGGGAGCCGAAGGGAAACCGAGUCUUAACUGGGCGUUAAGUUGCAGGGUAUAGACCCGAAACCCGGUGAUCUAGCCAUGGGCAGGUUGAAGGUUGGGUAACACUAACUGGAGGACCGAACCGACUAAUGUUGAAAAAUUAGCGGAUGACUUGUGGCUGGGGGUGAAAGGCCAAUCAAACCGGGAGAUAGCUGGUUCUCCCCGAAAGCUAUUUAGGUAGCGCCUCGUGAAUUCAUCUCCGGGGGUAGAGCACUGUUUCGGCAAGGGGGUCAUCCCGACUUACCAACCCGAUGCAAACUGCGAAUACCGGAGAAUGUUAUCACGGGAGACACACGGCGGGUGCUAACGUCCGUCGUGAAGAGGGAAACAACCCAGACCGCCAGCUAAGGUCCCAAAGUCAUGGUUAAGUGGGAAACGAUGUGGGAAGGCCCAGACAGCCAGGAUGUUGGCUUAGAAGCAGCCAUCAUUUAAAGAAAGCGUAAUAGCUCACUGGUCGAGUCGGCCUGCGCGGAAGAUGUAACGGGGCUAAACCAUGCACCGAAGCUGCGGCAGCGACGCUGAUGCGUUGUUGGGUAGGGGAGCGUUCUGUAAGCCUGCGAAGGUGUGCUGUGAGGCAUGCUGGAGGUAUCAGAAGUGCGAAUGCUGACAUAAGUAACGAUAAAGCGGGUGAAAAGCCCGCUCGCCGGAAGACCAAGGGUUCCUGUCCAACGUUAAUCGGGGCAGGGUGAGUCGACCCCUAAGGCGAGGCCGAAAGGCGUAGUCGAUGGGAAACAGGUUAAUAUUCCUGUACUUGGUGUUACUGCGAAGGGGGGACGGAGAAGGCUAUGUUGGCCGGGCGACGGUUGUCCCGGUUUAAGCGUGUAGGCUGGUUUUCCAGGCAAAUCCGGAAAAUCAAGGCUGAGGCGUGAUGACGAGGCACUACGGUGCUGAAGCAACAAAUGCCCUGCUUCCAGGAAAAGCCUCUAAGCAUCAGGUAACAUCAAAUCGUACCCCAAACCGACACAGGUGGUCAGGUAGAGAAUACCAAGGCGCUUGAGAGAACUCGGGUGAAGGAACUAGGCAAAAUGGUGCCGUAACUUCGGGAGAAGGCACGCUGAUAUGUAGGUGAAGUCCCUCGCGGAUGGAGCUGAAAUCAGUCGAAGAUACCAGCUGGCUGCAACUGUUUAUUAAAAACACAGCACUGUGCAAACACGAAAGUGGACGUAUACGGUGUGACGCCUGCCCGGUGCCGGAAGGUUAAUUGAUGGGGUCAGCGCAAGCGAAGCUCUUGAUCGAAGCCCCGGUAAACGGCGGCCGUAACUAUAACGGUCCUAAGGUAGCGAAAUUCCUUGUCGGGUAAGUUCCGACCUGCACGAAUGGCGUAAUGAUGGCCAGGCUGUCUCCACCCGAGACUCAGUGAAAUUGAACUCGCUGUGAAGAUGCAGUGUACCCGCGGCAAGACGGAAAGACCCCGUGAACCUUUACUAUAGCUUGACACUGAACAUUGAGCCUUGAUGUGUAGGAUAGGUGGGAGGCUUUGAAGUGUGGACGCCAGUCUGCAUGGAGCCG